GUAGAAUGUCAGCUUCCCAAGCUGAACGUCGCCGGUUCGAGUCCGGUCACCCGCU
rfam:Candidatus Synechococcus spongiarum 15L contig182, whole genome shotgun sequence.